rnacentral:rRNA from 1 species
AGGUUUUCGGACCUAGAGACCGGCGCACGGGUGCGUAACGCGUAUGCAAUCUACCUUUUACAGAGGGAUAGCCCAGAGAAAUUUGGAUUAAUACCUCAUAGUAUUAUUGAAUGGCAUCAUUUAAUAAUUAAAGUCACAACGGUAAAAGAUGAGCAUGCGUCCCAUUAGCUUGUUGGUAAGGUAACGGCUUACCAAGGCAACGAUGGGUAGGGGUCCUGAGAGGGAGAUCCCCCACACUGGUACUGAGACACGGACCAGACUCCUACGGGAGGCAGCAGUGAGGAAUAUUGGUCAAUGGGCGCAAGCCUGAACCAGCCAUGCCGCGUGCAGGAUGAAGCAUCUAUGGUGUGUAAACUGCUUUUGUACGAGAAGAAACACUCCUUCGUGAAGGAGCUUGACGGUAUCGUAAGAAUAAGGACCGGCUAACUCCGUGCCAGCAGCCGCGGUAAUACGGAGGGUCCAAGCGUUAUCCGGAAUCAUUGUGUUUAAAGGGUCCGUAGGCGGUUUUGUAAGUCAGUGGUGAAAGCCCAUCGCUCAACGGUGGAACGGCCAUUGAUACUGCAAGACUUGAAUUAUUGGGAAGCAACUAGAAUAUGUAGUGUAGCGGUGAAAUGCUUAGAGAUUACAUGGAAUACCAAUUGCGAAGGCAGGUUGCUACCAAUACAUUGACGCUGAUGGACGAAAGCGUGGGGAGCGAACAGGAUUAGAUACCCUGGUAGUCCACGCCGUAAACGAUGGAUACUAGCUGUUCGAGAGCAAUCUUGAGUGGCUAAGCGAAAGUGAAAAG